UACGUAGGGUCCGAGCGUUGUCCGGAAUUAUUGGGCGUAAAGGGCGCGUAGGCGGUCUAUUAAGUCAGGCGUGAAAGCCCCGGGCUCAACCUGGGAAUUGCGUUUGAUACUGGUAGGCUCGAGAUUCAGAGAGGUGAGUGGAAUUCCUAGUGUAGCAGUGAAAUGCGUAGAUAUUAGGAGGAACAUCAGUGGCGAAGGCGGCUCACUGGCUGAAUACUGACGCUAAGGCGCGAAAGCGUGGGGAGCAAACAGG
rnacentral:rRNA from 1 species